GAUGAACGCUGGCGGCGUGCCUAAUACAUGCAAGUCGAGCGAACGGACGAGAAGCUUGCUUCUCUGAUGUUAGCGGCGGACGGGUGAGUAACACGUGGAUAACCUACCUAUAAGACUGGGAUAACUUCGGGAAACCGGAGCUAAUACCGGAUGAUAUUUUGAACCGCAUGGUUCAAAAGUGAAAGACGGUCUUGCUGUCACUUAUAGAUGGAUCCGCGCUGCAUUAGCUAGUUGGUAAGGUAACGGCUUACCAAGGCAACGAUGCAUAGCCGACCUGAGAGGGUGAUCGGCCAGACUGGAACGGAGACACGGUCCAGACUCCUACGGGAGGCAGCAGUAGGGAAUCUGCCGCAAUGGGCGAAAGCCUGACGGGGCAACGCCGCGUGAGUGAUGAAGGUCUUCGGAUCGUAAAACUCUGUUAUUAGGGAAGAACAUAUGUGUAAGUAACUGUGAACAUCUUGACGGUACCUAAUCAGAAAGCCACGGCUAACUAC
rnacentral:rRNA from 1 species